rnacentral:rRNA from 1 species
AGGUUACUGCUAUCGGUGUUCGCCUAAGCCAUGCGAGUCAUAUGUUCUUCGUGAACAUGGCGUACUGCUCAGUAACACGUGGAUAACCUGCCCUUGGGACCGGGAUAACCCCGGGAAACUGGGGAUAAUACCGGAUAACGCAUAUCUGCUGGAAUGCUUUAUGCGUAAAAUGGAUUUGUCUGCCCAAGGAUGGGUCUGCGGCCUAUCAGGUAGUAGUGGGUGUAAUGUACCUACUAGCCUACGACGGGUACGGGUUGUGAGAGCAAGAGCCCGGAGAUGGAUUCUGAGACAUGAAUCCAGGCCCUACGGGGCGCAGCAGGCGCGAAAACUUUACAAUGCGGGAAACCGUGAUAAGGGGACACCGAGUGCCAGCAUCAUAUGUUGGCUGUCCAGAUGUGUAAAAUACAUCUGUUAGCAAGGGCCGGGCAAGACCGGUGCCAGCCGCCGCGGUAACACCGGCGGCCCGAGUGGUGAUCGUGAUUAUUGGGUCUAAAGGGUCCGUAGCCGGUUUGGUCAGUCCUCCGGGAAAUCUGACGGCUCAACCGUUAGGCUUUCGGUGGAUACUGCCAGACUUGGAACCGGGAGAGGUAAGAGGUACUACAGGGGUAGGAGUGAAAUCUUGUAAUCCCUGUGAGACCACCUGUGGCGAAGGCGUCUUACCAGAACGGGUUCGACGGUGAGGGACGAAAGCUGGGGGCACGAACCGGAUUAGAUACCCGGGUAGUCCCAGCCGUAAACGAUGCUCGCUAGGUGUCAGGCAUGGCGCGACCGUGUCUGGUGCCGCAGGGAAGCCGUGAAGCGAGCCACCUGGGAAGUACGGCCGCAAGGCUGAAACUUAA